rnacentral:tRNA from 1 species
UGCCGCGUAGUGUAACGGUAGCACGUGGGAUUCUGACUCCCCCAGUUAAGGUUCGAAUCCUUACGCGGUAGCCA